rnacentral:rRNA from 1 species
GGCGGUUAGAUAAGUNUGAAGUUAAAGGCUGUGGCUUAACCNUAGUACGCUUUGGAAACUGUUUAACUUGAGUGCAAGAGGGGAGAGUGGAAUUCCAUGUGUAGCGGUGAAAUGCGUAGAUAUAUGGAGGAACACCGGUGGCGAAAGCGGCUNUCUGGCUUGUAACUGACGCUGAGGCUCGAAAGCGUGGGGAGCAAACAGGAUUAGAUGCCNUGGUAGUCCACGCCGUAAACGAUGAGUGCUAGGUGUUAGACCCUUUCCGGGGUUUAGUGCCGCAGCUAACGCAUUAAGCACUCCGCCUGGGGAGUACGACCGCAAGGUUGAAACUCAAAGGAAUUGACGGGGGCCCGCACAAGCGGUGGAGCAUGUGGUUUAAUUCGAAGCAACGCGAAGAACCUUACCAGGUCUUGACGUCCCUCUGACCGCUCUAGAGAUAGAGUUUUCCUUCGGGACAGAGGUGACAGGUGGUGCAUGGUUGUCGUCAGCUCGUGUCGUGAGAUGUUGGGUUAGGUCCCGCAACGAGCGCAACCCCUAUUGUUAGUUGCCAUCAUUUAGUUGGGCACUCUAGCGAGACUGCCGGUAAUAAACCGGAGGAAGGUGGGGAUGACGUCAAAUCAUCAUGCCCCUUAUGACCUGGGCUACACACGUGCUACAAUGGCUGGUACAACGAGUCGCAAGUCGGUGACGGCAAGCUAAUCUCUUAAAGCCAGUCUCAGUUCGGAUUGUAGGCUGCAACUCGCCUACAUGAAGUCGGAAUCGCUAGUAAUCGCGGAUCAGCACGCCGCGGUGAAUACGUUCCCGGGCCUUGUACACACCGCCCGUCACACCACGAGAGUUUGUAACACCCGAGGUCGGUG